AUCCUGCUGACGAGUCUCGAAUAGGACGAAAUGUGUGUCUUGGAU
rnacentral:hammerhead_ribozyme from 1 species